rnacentral:tRNA from 1 species
GGGAAGUUGGCUCAGUGGUAGAGUGCUUGCCUUGCAUGCAUGAGGCCCUGGGUU